rnacentral:rRNA from 1 species
CGGGACGGGGUGGAGGAAUACAUCGGAAUCUACUCUGUCGGUGGGGGAGUAACGUAGGGAAACUUACGCUAAUACCGCAUACGACCUACGGGUGAAAGCAGGGGAUCUUCGGACCUUGCGCGAUUGAAUGAGCCGAUGUCGGAUUAGCUAGUUGGCGGGGUAAAGGCCCACCAAGGCGACGAUCCGUAGCUGGUCUGAGAGGAUGAUCAGCCACACUGGAACUGAGACACGGUCCAGACUCCUACGGGAGGCAGCAGUC